rnacentral:lncRNA from 1 species
CCUGGGCCCGGCUUUGGUCGGUAUCAACCCAAAUACACCUAAAGGUAGGUUCAAAACAAAUUGUUUCAACUAAACAACUUCUAGUGAUCAUUUUGCCCCAGGAAUCACUUCAGCAGGCGUAUAUCAACACUAUUGAAAGUUCCGGUUAGGUCCAACCAUUAACAUGUAGCAAUCAAUGCAAACUAUCUAAUAGAUGGUCAAGCCCGACUUUGGCCGGUAUCCAACCGGACCACCCAUCCAAUAGUUGCAACUGACUCAUAAUUAUUGUAUGACAAUUCCAAUGGCCGAUACGCACCAGUGCGCGCACACGCCUCCAAUGUAUAUAGACGCAUUGGACUCAUUAUUACACAACUAAUGGGAGGCUAUGACGUGGUCAUCUCCAUUAACCAUAUCAUUUUAUGGACCUAAUAAUUUAGAGAAUUUUUAUAAUAAAAAGCUGACUCAA